rnacentral:rRNA from 1 species
AGUGAACGCUGGCGGUAGGCCUAACACAUGCAAGUCGAACGGCAGCACAGUAAGAGCUUGCUCUUACGGGUGGCGAGUGGCGGACGGGUGAGGAAUACAUCGGAAUCUACUUUUUCGUGGGGGAUAACGUAGGGAAACUUACGCUAAUACCGCAUACGACCUACGGGUGAAAGCAGGGGAUCUUCGGACCUUGCGCGAUUGAAUGAGCCGAUGUCGGAUUAGCUAGUUGGCGGGGUAAAGGCCCACCAAGGCGACGAUCCGUAGCUGGUCUGAGAGGAUGAUCAGCCACACUGGAACGGAGACACGGUCCAGACUCCUACGGGAGGCAGCAGUGGGGAAUAUUGGACAAUGGGCGCAAGCCUGAUCCAGCCAUACCGCGUGGGUGAAGAAGGCCUUCUGGUUGUAAAGCCCUUUUGUUGGGAAAGAAAAGCAGCAGGUUAAUACCCCGCUGUGCUGACGGUACCCAAAGAAUAAGCACCGGCGAACGUC